rnacentral:rRNA from 1 species
UACGUAGGGCGCAAGCGUUGUCCGGAAUUAUUGGGCAUAAAGCGCACGUAGGCGGCUUAGCAAGUUGGAUGUGAAAUCCCUCGGCUCAACCAAGGAAGUGCAUCCAAAACUGCUGAGCUUGAGUACUUAAGAGGAUCGCGGAAUUCCCGGUGUAGAGGUGAAAUUCGUAGAUAUCGGGAGGAACACCAGUGGCGAAGGCGGCGAUCUGGGAAGAUACUGACGCUGAGGUGCGAAAGCGUGGGGAGCAAACAGG